CCCUUAGAUGUCCUGGGCCGCACGCGCGCUACACUGAACGGAUCAGCGCGUUUUCCCUUCCCGAGAGGGAUGGGUAACCUGCUGAACCCCGUUCGUGGUAGGGAUCGGGGCUUGCAAUUAUUCCCCGUGAACCAGGAAUGCCCAGUAAGUGCAAGUCAUAAGCUUGCGUUGAUUACGUCCCUGCCCUUUGUACACACCGCCCGUCGCUACUACCGAUUGAACGUUUUAGUGAGGUACUCGGACUGAGCCUCAGAAGAUUCACGUCUUUUGUGCUGCUCGGGAAGAUUCCCAAACUUGAGCGUUUAGAGGAAGUAAAAGUCGUAACA
rnacentral:rRNA from 1 species